UUAUGCAUUUACUUGUCAUCUUUGUGAAAAUCAUUUCUCAUAUAAACACCAUUUCAUUUCGCAUUUAAAAACACAUGAAGUCCAAGAUUCGAUAGAUGGCUCAAAGAAAUGUCCACUUUGUGAGUAUCGGAAUUCAUCGAAAAAAAAAUUAAUUAGUCACUUUGAAGCAAGUCAUGAUAUUCAAAUUAUCAGAAGUUAUACCAAUUUUGGUAAAAUUGAAGAGUUCAAUGAAUACUUAAAAGUAAUCGAGAAAAAUACAAAGUCUCGUCUUGUGAAAAGAAAUGUCAACUACAAAUAUUUUAAGGUUUGACUGUAAUAGGUCCGGGGAGUUUGUACCUAUAAAGAAUCGAAAUCGGGCACUGAAAAUGUAUGACAGUAACAAAAUAAACGCAUUUUGUCCUGCGUCACUGACAAUUCGCAUGAACAAGAAUGGAACCUAUCAGUGUGAAUUUUUAGAAAAUCAUAUAGGGCAUACAAAUGAUAUGGGCCAUUUUUUUUAAGUGAAGAAGAUAGAAAUAAUAUAGCAGUCAAAAUAGCUUCAAAAAUACCAUUCGAUGCUAUUUUGGAUAACGUUAGGGAUGCAGUUGAGGGAGACGAUAUAGAUAGGCUUCAUUUGCUUACCAAAAGGGACUUAUACAAUAUUGAGAAGUCAUUUAAUUUAAACUCAGUUCGGCAUUAUAAUGAUGCAGUUAGUGUUGACUCUUUGGUCAAUGACAUGAGGAAAGAGGAUAAUAAUUGUGUCCUGUUUUAUAAACCCCAGGAUAGCCUAAGCAAGGAUUAUAGUCAGCUAAAAAGAGAAGACUUUAUUUUAAUUAUCAUGAACUCAGCACAAUGUCAUCUGUUGAAAAAGUACGAAUCAGAUUGUAUUUGCUUAGACGGCACACACGGUACCAAUGGAUACAAUUUUGAAUUAGUUACGUUAUUGGUUAUUGAUGAUAUGCGACAGAGCUUUCCCUGUGCUUUCAUGAUUACUAAUAGAUGUGAUAAAGAUACUUUAAAAAUAUUCUUCUCCUCAAUCAAAACAUUAUCUGAUGUCAUUACUCCAGCUGUUUUCAUGAUAGAUAUUGCAGAGUCAUUUUAUAAUGCUUGGAUAGAAACAAUGGGAACACCAGUGUCUAGAUUAUAUUGUAGUUGGCAUAUAGAUCGUGCUUGGAGAAAAAAUUUGAACAAAGUCGAUGGCAAAGAUAAACAGGUUCUGGUUUAUAAACAAAUAAGAUGCCUUAUGGAGGAAAGGGAUGUAUUUGCUUUUACGACAAUGAAGGACAAGCUAUGUAAACAACUUCUAGAAAACCCCGACACUACUGAAUUUGCGAAAUAUUUUAUAGAAAAUUAUAUGCAAAAUUUCAAGUGUUGGGCAUAUUGCUAUCGCUUACACGCUGGAAUAAACACAAACAUGCAUUUAGAGAGAAUGCACAGAACUUUAAAAUAUAUUUAUUUGAAAGGAAAACAUAACAAAAGAUUAGAUAAAGCUAUUAUGAGCAUUAUGAAAUUUAUUAGAGACAGACUAUUUGAUAGACUAAUAAAAAUUCAUAAAGGAAAAGUUACAAGCAAAUUAAGUCAAAUUCGGGACAGACAUAAAAAAAGCCUGCAGUUAGAUAUGGAUGCAAUAACUAAAACAGAAGAUGGCUGGGAAGUAGUCUCAUCAUCCCAAAAUAAUUUUGAGCUAUAUUAAAUAAAGAAACUUAAGGAUUCUUGCACAAGUCAGCUUAUUUGUCACGAGUGCAACAAUACAUGUCUACAUAUAUAUUCCUGUUCAUGCCCUGACUCCUCAAUUAUAUGGACAAUGUGCAAACACAUUCAUCUAUUAUGCAGAACACAAAAUAUAGACACUAAUUCUAUCGCUUCUGGUGGUGCAGCAGGUGAGAUGCCAGCUGCAAUGCAAACAGGCUCUGAUGGAUUGUCCAACAGCUCAUUCAACAUAUUCGCUCUCAUCAUCGUUUCUUA
rnacentral:misc_RNA from 1 species